rnacentral:ribozyme from 1 species
AGAGGAGAAACGCUCCUCUCGCCUAAUGCAGCCAAGGACGGUGACAAGCCCGUGAAAAUGCAGAGUCGGCA